rnacentral:rRNA from 1 species
GUACACGCUGUGACUAGCAUAUCAAUAAGCGGAGGAAAAGAAACUAACAAGGAUUCCCCUAGUAACGGCGAGUGAAGCGGGAAGAGCUCAAAUUUGAAAUCUUAAAGGGUUUCCCUUUACGAAUUGUAGUUUAAAGAAGUGUUUUCUGUUGAGGUUUUGGUAAAAGUUCUUUGGAAUAGGACAUCAUAGAGGGUGAGAAUCCCGUAUUUGACCUUUACUUUCAACUCUGUGAUACACUUUCAAAGAGUCGGAUUGUUUGGGAAUGCAGUCCAAAAUGGGUGGUAAAUUUCAUCUAAAGCUAAAUAUUGGCGAGAGACCGAUAGCGAACAAGUACCGUGAGGGAAAGAUGAAAAGAACUUUGAAAAGAGAGUUAAACAGUACGUGAAAUUGUCAAAAGGGAAGCGUUUGACACCAGUGUUGUUUUUCUGAAAAUCAAUUAAAGAACUGUUUAUGCUAAGUUGUUUAGACUUUAUCAGCUAACUGUUUAGUUUUGAGCUUUUCUUUAAUGCACUUUUCAGUUAACAAGUCAACAUCAACUUCUUUUGCUGUAAAAAAGCUUGAGGAAGGUGGCUUGAGAUUCGUCUUAAGUGUUUAUAGCCUCUUGCCUAUGCAGUCGGAGAGAUUGAGGUCUGCAGCGUAGAUCCUUCGGGGCUAAAUGCAUUUGUGCUAAGUUAUAACAUUUUAUAGACAACUUGUUGACUAUGAUUUGUCUUGUAGCUUACUCGCUUAUGUUAUUUUACCUACGCUUAGGAUGUUGAAUCUGUGCGAGACUAC